rnacentral:rRNA from 1 species
AGAGCGAACGCUGGCGGCAGGCCUAACACAUGCAAGUCGAGCGCCCGUAGCAAUACGGGAGCGGCAGACGGGAUAGUAACACGUGGGAACGCGCCCUUCGGUUCGGAAUAACUCAGGGAAACUUGAGCUAAUACCGGAUACGCCCUUACGGGGAAAGAUUUAUUGCCGAAGGAACGGCCCGCGUCCGAUUAGCUAGUUGGUGAGGUAAUGGCUCACCAAGGCGACGAUCGGUAGCUGGUCUGAGAGGAUGACCAGCAUCACUGGGACUGAGACACGGCCCAGACUCCUACGGGAGGCAGCAGUGGGGAAUAUUGGACAAUGGGCGCAAGCCUGAUCCAGCCAUGCCGCGUGGAUGAUGAAGGCCUUAGGGUUGUAAAGUCCGUUUUAACGGGGAAGAUAAUGACGGUACCCGUAGAAUAAGCCCCGGCUAACCUUCGUGCCAGCAGCCGC